rnacentral:tRNA from 1 species
UGUUCUGUGGCUUAGUUGGUUAAAGCACCGGUCUAGCGAAUAAGGGAUCGUGAGUUCGAAUCCCACUAGAACGC